rnacentral:rRNA from 1 species
AGAGUCAACGCUGGCGGCGUGCCUAACACAUGCAAGUCGAACGAGAAAGGGACUUCGGUCCUGAGUAAAGUGGCGCACGGGUGAGUAACACGUGACUAACCUACCCUUGAGUGGGGAAUAACUUCGGGAAACCGAGGCUAAUACCGCAUAACACCUACGGGUCAAAGGAGCAAUUCGCUUAAGGAGGGGGUCGCGGCAGAUUAGCUAGUUGGCGGGGUAAUGGCCCACCAAGGCAGUGAUCUGUAUCCGGCCUGAGAGGGCGCACGGACACACUGGAACUGAAACACGGUCCAGACUCCUACGGGAGGCAGCAGUGGGGAAUUUUGCGCAAUGGGGGAAACCCUGACGCAGCAACGCCGCGUGGAGGAUGAAGUCUCUUGGGACGUAAACUCCUUUCGAUCGGGACGAUAAUGACGGUACCGAGAGAAGAAGCCCCGGCUAACUUCGUGCCAGCAGCCGC